rnacentral:rRNA from 1 species
GAUGAACGCUAGCGGGAGGCUUAACACAUGCAAGUCGAGGGGCAGCAUUUGGUAGCAAUACUGAGAUGGCGACCGGCGCACGGGUGAGUAACGCGUAUGUAACCUACCUUGUACAGGGGGAUAGCCCGGAGAAAUUCGGAUUAAUACCCCAUAAUGAUAUUAAGAGGCAUCUUUUAAUAUUUAAAGUUUCGACGGUACGAGAUGGGCAUGCGUGACAUUAGCUAGUUGGUAAGGUAACGGCUUACCAAGGCUACGAUGUCUAGGGGUCCUGAGAGGGUGAUCCCCCACACUGGUACUGAGACACGGACCAGACUCCUACGGGUGGCUG